UACGAGAGCCCCAAGCGUUAUCCGGAAUUACUGGGCGUAAAGGGUGCGUAGGUUGCGUUGUUAGUCUUUUGUCAAAACCCCAAGCUCAACUUGGGAUCGGCACGGGAAACGGCAAUGCUAGAAAGUGUGAGAGGUGUACGGAACUCAUGGUGUAGGGAUGAAAUCCGUUGAUAUCAUGGGGAACACCGAAAGCGAAGGCAGUACACUGGCACAUAUUUGACACUGAAGCACGAAAGCGUGGGUAGCGAAUGGG
rnacentral:rRNA from 1 species